CCUACGGAGGGCAGCAGUGAGGAAUAUUGGUCAAUGGGCGGGAGCCUGAACCAGCCAAGCCGCGUGAGGGAAGAAGGUACAGCGUAUCGUAAACCUCUUUUGUCAGGGAACAAAGGCGGGGACUAGUCCCCGGAUGAGGGUACCUGAAGAAAAAGCAUCGGCUAACUCCGUGCCAGCAGCCGCGGUAAUACGGAGGAUGCGCGCGUUAUCCGGAUUUAUUGGGUUUAAAGGGUGCGCAGGCGGCCUGUUAAGUCAGCGGGAAAAGCCCGGGGCUCAACCCCGGCGAGCCGUUGAAACUGGCGGGCUGGAGUUGGAGAGAAGGACGCGGAAUGCGCGGUGUAGCGGUGAAAUGCUUAGAUAUCGCGCAGAACCCCGAUUGCGAAGGCAGCGUACCGGCUCCACACUGACGCUGAGGCACGAAAGCGUGGGUAUCGAACAGGAUUAGAUACCCCUGUAGUC
rnacentral:rRNA from 1 species